CCCAUUAUGUAGCCCUGUUAUCUAGCCACUCUUCCCCCUCAAAGCCCUCUCUGCCAGUCUUCCAAAGCAAGUCAAUUUGGAGAUGAUUACAUCCAAACUUUUAAGGUCCCCGCCUCCCAUUUCAUAGUACAGACGCAUAAAUCCCAACCACACCUUUAGGUGCAUCCAAUGUAAUCCACUUCUAACCUCUGUCUCCUGCUAUGGAUUCACCUGGUAUUACAGAUCUUGCAACAGAAUCUGUCAUACAAGCUUCCUUGCACAAUAUAGACCACCCUGAAACAGCUUUUCUUGUUUAACUGUAUACAGAAGAGCCUGGAACCAUGCCCAUGGAGUUCCCGCACCACCCAUCGUGGACCUUGCCUCUCGGACCCUUAGCUGUGAGAAGAGCACGUCAGAAACAAUGAGCUGCUGCAAGGACUGCCGCUGUCUUGCAGUUUAUCUAACAGAAAGUUACAGUUUCUGUCCUAUAUCCUUCCGAAUAAAGCCUUGCCAAGUGA